CCUACGGGUGGCAGCAGUGGGGAAUAUUGCGCAAUGGGCGAAAGCCUGACGCAGCGACGCCGCGUGAGGGAUGAAGGUCUUCGGAUCGUAAACCUCUGUCAGCAGGGAAGAACGGUCACUGUGCUAAUCAGCAGUGAAUUGACGGUACCUGCAAAGGCAGCACCGGCUAACUCCGUGCCAGCAGCCGCGGUAAUACGGAGGGUGCGAGCGUUAAUCGGAAUUACUGGGCGUAAAGCGCUCGUAGGCGGUAUGUCAAGUCAAGGGUGAAAUCCCCGCGCUCAACGGGGGAACUGCCUUUGAAACGGGCAGACUGGAGUGUGGGAGAGGAGAGUGGAAUUCCAGGUGUAGGAGUGGAAUCCGUAGAUAUCGGGAGGAACAUCAGUGGCGAAGGCGACUAUCUGGCACAUAACUGACGCUGAGGAGCGAAAGCGUGGGUAGCAAACAGGAUUAGAUACCCGUGUAGUC
rnacentral:rRNA from 1 species